GCCGCGGGGAGCACGAAGUGCGUGCGACCGCAGCCCGGCAGGUCACGCAACCCCAAGCGGCCGCGCCGCCUGCGUGCCUGCAGCCCGCCGGCCCCGCCCCCGCCGCUCGCUUCCGCCGCUUUCCUGCACGCUCGGGCUUCCUGGUGCGCCCGAAGCCUGCCUCGCGUGCCGACCUCGCCGCGUAAUCCGGCGAGGAAUCCCAGAUUCCGCCCAGCCCCCGAUGCCCUCCACCGACGUUAGCCUGAGCAGAUGAAGACAAAUGUUUGGAGAAUUAGGAAGCUUGCUCAAGAUCAGAAUGUUGAGGAACCAGCCUCCUCGGUUGCUUCUGAUUGUAAACUAGCUGUGAGAAGGGCACCACUCUGCUACAAAAGCAAUCUUAGAAAUUAACCAGCACAAAGAUCAUCCAUGACUAAUUCAUUUGGAAGGAGUGCAUUUUUAUCAGAGGGACUGAAAAGCCUUUGAGAAUCAGUUUAAAAGAGGAAUGCUCAUGAGAGUUACGAAACAGGCACUUGGAUGAAGUCCUGAGAUGGAUGCAUAUAAACCCAAGUUUCAGGGUAAAAGUUUGCUGAAGUGACCCCAUCUGGGCAGAUAAUUUGUGAAGAUGAAGCUGCUUCAAGAGGUGGAGGAGCUUGUGUGGGAACCCCACCAAGUGUCCUAUAAUGAAGAGGAAGGAACAUUAAUGUAAAACAUUAAGAAAUAAGUACACCUCACAUUAUAGGACUCUAUAUCAGUGUCUACUUAACAUAAUCUGUAUAGCUUUAGUGCUUAUUUAAAAAAUAAAAAAUGCUAUCUAUCUAUUUAA